UACAGAGGGUGCAAGCGUUGCUCGGAAUCAUUGGGCGUAAAGGGUAGGUAGGUGGUCUCAUUUGUCGGGGGUGAAAGCCUUGGGCUUAACCCAAGAAGUGCCCCCGAAACGGUGAGACUCGAGUAUUGGAGAGGCAAGUGGAAUUCCGAGUGUAGAGGUGAAAUUCGUAGAUAUUCGGAAGAACACCAGUGGCGAAGGCGACUUACUGGACACAUAUUGACGCUGAGGUGCGAAAGCGUGGGGAGCAAACAGG
rnacentral:rRNA from 1 species